rnacentral:RNase_MRP_RNA from 2 species
UCCAUGAUCAAAGAAUUGUUAAUCGAAGCAUACAAAAGGAUUCCUAGGAAUCAUCAUUACGCUUUGGGGAAAGUCUCCGACCAAUCACACGGAAAUCGUGAUGAGAUUUGUUAUCAACUCAUCAAGACUUGUUUUCUUUAAUUUUACUAGAUUAUUUUCCAAAGAAGUUGUUUUAGGAAGUUUUGAUUGGGUUUUUUCAAAAGAACUGGAUUUGAAUAGUUUUGGUUUUGGAUAAUUUAGAUUCACAUCUUAAGGGUUUACCUGGUUUUCUUUUUCUUGGAUAAUACUCCUCUUGAGUCUUGAGAUUACUUUUAAAGUUUUCUGUUAUCUGGUUGGAUUAUUCAAGUUUAUCUGGUGUUUUUAUUUCCUAUAUUCCUUAAUGGUUUCUUAUCAUUCCUCUUUUGGCCUGUAUUCAUUAUUUUUAUUUUAACCUUCGUUUGUAUGGAUUUUUUCUAGAAUUUUAAAAGAAUUCAUGUUUUACAUAUUCACUAAAUUUCUUUAAAUUUAGUUGAACUUUCGGUAUUUGGGGUUUAUUGCAAAACCUAAACGAUAGUUAUAACAAUUGAUCAUUUUGAAAUGAAAUAUGAUUAACCCAAUGGAGCUUACUCUUGAUUCAUGG